UACGAAGGGGGCGAGCGUUGUUCGGAAUUACUGGGCGUAAAGGGCACGUAGGCGGUCGUGACAAGUCACUUGUGAAAUCUCCGGGCUUAACUCGGAACGGUCAAGUGAUACUGUCGGACUAGAGUACAGAAGGGGCAACUGGAAUUCUCGGUGUAGCGGUGAAAUGCGUAGAUAUCGAGAGGAACACCUGCGGCGAAGGCGGGUUGCUGGGCUGAUACUGACGCUGAGGCGCGAAAGCCAGGGGAGCGAACGGG
rnacentral:rRNA from 1 species